rnacentral:tRNA from 1 species
GGUGAGGUGGCUGAGUGGUCGAAAGCACAUCUUUGCUAAAGAUGCGUACUGGAAACAGUACCGUGGGUUCGAAUCCCACCCUCACCGCCA